AAGAGACAGCAGUAGCCGCGGGAAUACGUAGGGUGCGAGCGUUAAUCGGAAUUACUGGGCGUAAAGCGUACGCAGGCGGUUGUGUAAGACAGGUGUGAAAUCCCCGGGCUUAACCUGGGAACUGCGCUUGUGACUGCACAGCUAGAGUAUGGCAGAGGGGGGUGGAAUUCCACGUGUAGCAGUGAAAUGCGUAGAGAUGUGGAGGAACACCGAUGGCGAAGGCAGCCCCCUGGGCCAAUACUGACGCUCAUGCACGAAAGCGUGGGGAGCAAACAGGAUUAGAGACCCCCGUAGUCCCUGUCUCUAUACA
rnacentral:rRNA from 1 species